UACAGAGGUCUCAAGCGUUGUUCGGAUUCAUUGGGCGUAAAGGGCGCGUAGGCUGCGGGGCAAGUCGGAUGUGAAAUCUCAGAGCUCAACUCUGAAACUGCACUCGAUACUGCUUUGCUUGAGGACUGGAGAGGAGAUUGGAAUUCACGGUGUAGCAGUGAAAUGCGUAGAUAUCGUGAGGAAGACCAGUGGCGAAGGCGGGUCUCUGGACAGUUCCUGACGCUGAGGCACGAAGGCCAGGGGAGCAAACGGG
rnacentral:rRNA from 1 species